GGAUGCACCAAGGGCUACAGUAAAAACUAGGAAGAACACCAAGAUUUAAAGAACCAGAGGAAGAGGAGCUGUGGGGAAGAGAAGCAAAUGAGGAGCAUCCACAGAGUCAGAGAGAAAGCCAGAGUCAGGGCUUCCUGCUGCUGAACCUCAGAGGAUAAGCCUUCUGAAAGGGACACCCUGCAGCCUGGCCACAACAAUGUGGCCACAGAUUAUGCCCUAGAGGGUGGCACAACGCUGGUGGCGCUCUCCACAGGGCAAGGGGUGGACCUCUUCAUGCCUGACCCGACACCAAAAGAAGAAAAAAGAAAGAAAAUGUAAACAAACCCAUGUGUAAGUUUCUUCACUCUCAGUAACCCCACUGUGAACAUCAGGAUGUGAGACCAGAGGGUGAGGAAAGUUGAAAGCAUCCUGCCUGGACUAUGAUUGGAGGAACCGACAGUUUAAAGUCCAGCAAUCCACCAGGAGACGAAUGUAUUCUUAUUGGCCACUGGUCCAAAAAGAGUGAAACAUAUGUGAAGUCAACUUGAAUCCAACCUGCAAUCUGGAGCAGUCACCCAGGAUUGCAACAAUGUUAGCACCAUCAGCCCCUAAAGUAGAUGAACAUUGACUGUGAGCAAGGAAGAAUAGUGAAACCCCAGGAAGAGUGUGGCUGGGACAUUCUUCAAUGAGACGGGAAGCCAGAAAAAUCUGAAAAGAGCAAGAGCCGUCAAACUGGAAGAUCGAGGGAGUCAAGCAGAACAUUUCCGAGCAGCCAUGCCUGCUUGUCAAAAAGAUGACAAACCAGUUACACCCUUUCCUCCUGCAGCACCAACUGAUCCUAACAAGGCAGCCCAAACCCACUGGCUUAUCAAUUCUGAUGACGGCGUUUGGGUGAGAAUGGGAUCCGACUCUCUUAAUCUCCCAAGACCAGAUAUUGAUUUACGUUUCUGACAGAAAUAAAUGGAAUUUUCUUUUCUCGA